rnacentral:rRNA from 1 species
GAUGAACGCUGGCGGCGUGCCUAAUACAUGCAAGUCGAGCGAACAGACGAGGAGCUUGCUCCUCUGACGUUAGCGGCGGACGGGUGAGUAACACGUGGAUAACCUACCUAUAAGACUGGGAUAACUUCGGGAAACCGGAGCUAAUACCGGAUAAUAUAUUGAACCGCAUGGUUCAAUAGUGAAAGACGGUUUUGCUGUCACUUAUAGAUGCAUCCGGGCCGCAUUAGCUAGUUGGUAAGGUAACGGCUUACCAAGGCAACGAUGCGUAGCCGACCUGAGAGGGUGAUCGGCCGCACGGGAACGGAGACACGGUCCAGACUCCUACGGGAGGCAGCAGUAGGGAAUGUUCCGCAAAGGGCGAAAGCCUGACGGAGCAACGCCGCGUGAGUGAUGAAGGUCUUCGGAUCGUGAAGCUCUGUUAUUAGGGAAGAACAACUGUGUAAGUAACUGUGCACGUCUUGACGGUACCUGAUCAGAAAGCAACGGCUAACUACGUG